rnacentral:snoRNA from 1 species
UUUGGGCGGUCAAGAUGAACAGGAUGAUGUUCAUGGCGUGCUGCUACAACGAUCCGGACAUGCUCAUCGAUCCGGACACGGUCUACCCCAUCCGCCCCGAGUGCCGCGAAG